GCUCCGGGCCCAUCGGGCCACGGAUAUUGGGAUGGGAACAACGUAAAGCGUUUAUCGAAAGCAACUGGAGGGCAAGUCUGGUGCCAGCAGCCGCGGUAAUUCCAGCUCCAGUAGCGUAUACUAAAGUUGCUGCGGUUAAAAAGCUCGUAGUUGAAGGUCGGCGAUGCGGUGGGACGUGACUCUGCGAAGAAGCGGGGGAAGCGGAAACGGCAUUGCCUAAGCCGGGGAGGCGUACCUGCACUUAACUGGGCGGGGGCGUGGCUUCGGCGGAUUACCUUGAGGAAAAUAGAGUGUUCAAAGCAGGCGGUACAACUGCCGUGAAUAAGUUAGCAUGGAAUAAUGAAAGAGGACGCUGGUUCUAAGCACGGGCGGCGCAAGUCGCUCCUUAGGCGGGAAGCUUUUGGUAGAGAGGACCGGAGUAAUGAUUAAUAGGGACAGUUGGGGGCAUUAGUAUUCCGUAGUCAGAGGUGAAAUUCAAGGAUUUACGGAAGACUAACUACUGCGAGAGCAUCUCCCAAGGAUGUUUUCAUUAAUCAAGAACGAAAGUUUGGGGAUCGAAGACGAUCAGAUACCGUCGUAGUCCAAACCAUAAACUAUGCCGACUCGGGAUUGGUGUGCGCACACGCGAGGCCACGCCAGGACCGUAAGAGAAAUCAAAGUUAUUGGGUUCCGGGGGGAGUAUGGUCGCAAGGCUGAAACUUAAAGGAAUUGACGGUAGGGCACCACCAGGAGUGGAGCUUGCGGCUUAAUUCAACAACACGGGAAAACUUACCAGGUCCAGACACGGGAAGGAUUGACAGAUUGAGAGCUCUUUCUUGAUUCCGUGAGUGGUGGUGCAUGGCCGUUCUUAGUUGGUGGAGUGAUUUGUCUGCUUAAUUGCGAUAACGAACGAGACCUUAGCCUCUAAAUAGUUACCCGCACACCGGGCCCCGUUAGGCUUUGUUGGGGGGUGCAAUGCACACUCUGGCGAGGCUGUGAGGCCGCUGGGUUGCGAGGGACAACUUCUUAGAGGGACGGCCGGUGGUUAACCGGAGGAAGCGUUAGGCAAUAACAGGUCUGUGAUGCCCUUAGAUGUUCUGGGCCGCACGCGCGCUACAAUGAUGAAGUCAACAAGUGUGGACUCCUAGGCCGAAAGGUCCGGGUAAUCUUCCGAAACUUCAUCGUGCUGGGGAUUGACGUUUGCAAUUAUGCGUCAUGAACGAGGGAUUCCUAGUAAGCGCAAGUCAUCAUCUUGCGUUGAUUACGUCCCUGCCCUUUGUACACACCGCCCGUCGCUCCUACCGAUUGAAUCAUUCGGCGAAAUCCCCGGACCGUGCGCUGCUGGGGUCCCUUUUGGGGCCUUGCGCGGCUGCAGCGGGAAGCUGAUUAAACCUCAUGAUUCAGAGGAAGGAGAAGUCGUA
rnacentral:rRNA from 1 species